ACUGCUAAUACCGCAUAAGCGCACGGGAACGCAUGUUUCUGUGUGAAAAACUCCGGUGGUGUAAGAUGGGCCCGCGUUGGAUUAGGUAGUUGGUGAGGUAACGGCUCACCAAGCCGACGAUCCAUAGCCGACCUGAGAGGGUGACCGGCCACAUUGGGACUGAGACACGGCCCAAACUCCUACGGGAGGCAGCAGUGGGGAAUAUUGCACAAUGGGCGCAAGCCUGAUGCAGCGACGCCGCGUGAGCGAAGAAGUAUUUCGGUAUGUAAAGCUCUAUCAGCAGGGAAGAAAAUGACGGUACCUGACUAAGAAGCUCCGGCUAAAUACGUGCCAGCAGCCGCGGUAAUACGUAUGGAGCAAGCGUUAUCCGGAAUUACUGGGUGUAAAGGGAGCGUAGACGGAUGUGCAAGUCUGAUGUGAAAGGCGGGGGCUCAACCCCUGGACUGCAUUGGAAACUGUAAAUCUUGAGUGCCGGAGAGGUAAGCGGAAUUCCUAGUGUAGCGGUGAAAUGCGUAGAUAUUAGGAGGAACACCAGUGGCGGAGGCGGCUUACUGGACGGUAACUGACGCUGAGGCUCGAAAGCGUGGGGAGCAAACAGGAUUAGAUACCCUGGUAGUCCACGCCGUAAACGA
rnacentral:rRNA from 1 species